AUGGCCAACAUGGACAAGUUAGUUCAAUGGAAUUGCCGCAGUAUUAUAAACAAAAAGCAUGAAAUUAUACAUAUUAUAAAUACUUUUAAUCCUUUUAUAUUUUCUCUAUCUGAAACCUGGCUAAAGCCAGAUUUUGUAUUCAAAAUCCCUGGUUAUUCGUGCUUAAGAGAAGACAGGGCUGAUGGAUAUGGUGGUGUAUGCCUACUCAUCAGAAACUCUAGCACCUUUUCUUCCUUCCCUCUCCCUUCACAUAGUAACUGCUUUUCUGUCAUUGCAGCUAUUGUUGAUGGUAUCUGUUUUGUCUCUAUCUAUGUCCCUCAUCCCUCCUUGCAAAUCUUCAAUGAAAUUAAAAACUUAAUUUCAGUUCUUCCUCGGCCUUUCAUGAUUCUGGGUGAUUUCAACUCUCAUCACACAUCUUGGGGUAGUUCAGUAUCUAAUAGUUAUGGUUAUGAAUUAUUAGAUAUCUUAGACAUGUAUAGCCUGUGCAUUUUAAACUCGGGUUCUCCUACUCGCCUCACAAAGCCUGGUGAAGUAAUUAGUGCCAUUGACCUGUCCAUUUGUACUCCCCAGUUAGCAUCUUCUCUAUCUUGGUCUACUUUGUGUUCCACUUAUAAUAGUGAUCACUAUCCCAUAAUCAUUUCAUUUCCCUGUAAAAAAAAGGAUACAAUGUGUAUUCAAAACUCUCGCCUCAAACACAAAAUCAUAGACUCUAAAUGGAGUCAAUACACGUUAUUAAUAGAAGAGAAAAUUAAUAAUUGCUCAGAAGUUAAUGUCAUAGAUAAUAAUUAUUUCAAAGCUAUUUUGUUAGAAUCGGCUGAUAAUGUUUUUCCAAAGAAAAAGCCGCGUAGUAAUAAGUUGUCAUCUCCACCGUGGUGGGAUGAAGAAUGUACCAAUGCUAUACAGAAACGCAAGGCAGCAGAGCGUAAUUAUCGCAAUAAUAUGUCUAUGAAAAACUACGAGGCAUUAAUGACUAUAAUGAAAGAGGUUAGAAAACUAUUUAAAAAAAAGAAAUUUGACGGGUGGAGGAAAUUUUGUAGCACUAUAUCACCUGAAACACAUGCUACUGUCAUAUGGCGAAAUAUCAAAAGAUUUAGAUCAGCUGUCAAUCCUUCUAACGCAUUGUUGCUGCCUAUAGAAUUAGCAGAUCAAUUCCUUGAUCGUUUGGCUCCUCCUUCUGCUCCACUCAACGAUCCUAUCCUGUCUUAUAAGCAAUAUAACUCUGAUGCCCCUUCUCUAAAUCUAACUUUUACGUUAGUGGAGUUAAAAGGUGUAUUAAAUCACGUCAAAGACAGUGCUCCAGGGGAAGAUGGGAUUCCAUAUUCCUUUUUGUCUCACCUUGGCGAAAAAGGAUUAAAUUACUUUUUAAAUUUAAUAAAUAAAAUUUUACUGACAGGUGACAUUCCACCGUCAUGGCGAAGUCAAAUAGUAUUGCCAUUUUUAAAGCCGUCUAAGGUACAAUCUGAUAUCAAAUCAUAUCGUCCGAUAGUUUUGUCAUCGGUGAUCACAAAAGUUGUUGAACAUUUAAUUAAAAAUCGGCUUGAAUGGUAUAUAGAAAAUAACGAAUAUCUGUCCCAAACUCAGUUUGGAUUUCGAAAAGGUAAAAGUGUGGGGGACAAUUUAGGCAUAUUAGUUACGGAUAUUCGUAAUGCUUUCUCAGAUAAAAAGUCAGUAGUUGCUGCUUUUUUGGAUAUUAAUUCGGCUUAUGAUAACGUUCUAUUACAUAUUCUAAAAAGUAAAUUAGAUAAAUUAAAGGUUCCCUAUUUUUUAACUAAUUCCAUUGUAAAUCUUCUUUCGGAGAGGAAAAUUAUUUUAGAUGUUGGCGGCCCUUAUAAGCCUAGUAGGCUGGUAUGGAGAGGUUUGCCACAGGGGUCUGUUCUGAGUCCUUUAUUGUACAAUAUUUAUACAUAUGAUCUAGAAGGUUCAGUCGGAGAUUCAGCAAGUUUAUUACAGUAUGCCGAUGACUUGGUUAUUUAUGCCUCUGAUAUGUCUGUAAGUACUGCUGAACGAUAUGUUUCCUCCUCUUUAUCUUUGCUAAAAAUCUGGAUGGAUGCAAAUGGCCUUGAUCUGUCUCCCUCAAAAAGUACUGUUGUACUUUUCACCAAAUCCCGUACUCCUUGCUCACUUAAUAUAACAUAUGAUGGGGAUAUAUUACCCAUUAGGAAUCAAGUUAAGUUCUUAGGAGCUAUUCUUGAUUCUAAACUAACGGGUCAACCACACUGCGAAUUUGUGGUUAGUAAAUGUGAGCGAAACUUGAACAUGCUGAGAUGUCUCGGUGGGGUUUGGUGGGGUGCUCACCCGGCUACACUGAGGUUGGUGUAUAAUGCUGUCAUUAGAAGUGUACUGGAUUUUGGGACCUUUUUCUUAGACCCAGGUAAUGUGGCUGGCUUUAGAAAACUAGAUCUCAUACAGUCUAGGGCUUUGAGGAUUGUUUCUGGUGCCAUGAAAUCGAGUCCGGUUAAUGCUCUGCAAAUAGAAUGUUGUGACCCUCCUUUAAACUUAAGACGUCAAUAUCUGUCCGAUAGAUUCAUUUUUAGAAUUGUUCAGUUCCAUAAUCAUCCCCUCAUUUCGAAACUAGAGUUUCUUUCUAAAAAAGUACCCUCUUCACAUAAACCUUUACCUUGUCUGUUAAAAAGUUUCCUGAAAUUCAAACAAUUACAAGCCCCAACUCAUUCUUUUCAGGUGCUUCCUUUAUUUGGCGCUUCUUAUGAUUCUCUCUUACUUUCUCCAGUGAUUUGCUUUUCUCUUGGCAUUGAAAAAUCUGAUUUUAAUGCCAAUGAAAAUUUUAAUUGCAAUGUCAAUAGUAAAUGGCCUAACUGGCAUCAAAUUUAUACAGAUGCAUCUAAACACUCCAGUGGGUGUGUUGGUGUUGGAGUGUAUCACAAACAGUACAACAUAGUUCAGAAAAUUAAAUUACCUCCGGAAUCAUCGGUCUUUACCGGUGAAUGUUUUGGACUAUUAAAAGCUCUUGAAUAUGUGCUGUCUUUCAAACUAAAAAAAACCGUUGUAUUUACUGAUUCCUUAAGUGCAUUACAGAGCUUAGCAAAAUUUUCACUAAAACUUAACCCUUUUUUUCAUGUAAUAUUUGAAUGUAAGAGAAAGCUGUUGCACUGCCAAUCACACAACUAUUUAGUAUCAUUUUGUUGGGUACCUAGUCACUGUGGCAUAUCUGGAAAUGUGAAAGCUGACAGUUUGGCCAACAGUGCUACUGUGACCGGUGACGUAUACCCGUACAAGAAUUUUGGCCAUGAUCUUGCUGCUUUGCCCGGCAUAUGCCUCCACAAAUCGUGGAAUAUGUGUUGGGAAGAGAGCGGCCGGAUUAAGGGUCGUUUCUUGUAUGCUAUACAGUCUUCCGUUCCCAGGAAGCCAUGGUUUGCCAAAUUGUCGUUUGGUAAAACCGCCACUUCUACUAUAAUUCGUAUGCGUCUGGGACAUAACAGCCUUCCAGUUCAUUUGCACAAACUUGUUUCCUUCGUUUUUUAUUAUUUAUAAACUGUAAAUAAAUAAAACGGCGAAUUAUAAAAACAUUAUUACUUGACGCUGGCUAAUGCACAAAACGUGCCAGAGCCAAAAAUAAAGAAGAAGAAGAACUACCUUAAAAUUGCUCAUAAAGUUGGAAUUUGUCCCUAAUCGCCCCAUUUUACGGUACCUAUUGCAUGUAAAUCUUUGGUCAAAAUUCGUUUAAAUAAUGUUUGGUUUAUAAAUAUUAAUAAAUAAUAUAAUUUUAACUUUAAAAUUACUCUGAGUUAUUGGUUAAUUUAGAACAAGUAUUUAAAUAAAAAAAUAUAUGCUUGCACAAGAUAAAAUUAGAUUAAUUAUAUAG